rnacentral:lncRNA from 1 species
UUUUCUUUUUCUUAAUUUUACAUUGAGGAGGACUCUGAAAGAAGGACCCAUAAAAUUUGGGCAAGUUUGUUUCUCUGAUUGUUCUUGUAAGGACAAGCAAGUAGAAGUGGUCCUCAGCCAGGUAUGCUGUCUUUUGUUCACUGCUGCUUGGAAAAAUGCGCACCCCAGACUAUCAUGGGCCCCUUUUUUGAGCCUUUUACAAUUUUACUGUUAAAUACGUUUCAGCUCUCUGAGAGUAAUCGAUUCCCUGUAACUUUGUAUUCUAUUCUCUAGAUUAGUUUAAAUGUUAUUAGAAAAGGAAGGAAUUCUCUGUGAAACCAAGCUCUAGUUAUUUGUUUAAUGUUCAGACUGAUUGCUCUGCCUUAACUGGCCUACGUUCCUUAUGGAAUUUUGCGAGCGAAAAGUUUAAAUUUACUGUUUGUAAUGUAAAUUACGCACAUUAUACUCACCUAUGUGUUAAUUACUUAGUUUUGAAAUUUUUUGAUAAUUUUAACGUGUUCUGCGUAGAAUUUUGAAGAAAAAAAAACAUGUGCUGUAGUGCUUAAUUUCUUAUCAUGUCUAGUGAUCCUCUGAGCUUAGUUUACUUGACCGAUGUUCCAUUUAAUGUUGCAGGUGCAAAAGUAACAGUAGUAUGUAUUCAGUAGGUGAAACGAAGUAGUGCCCAGUAUUUCAAAAAAAUUAUCAAUGGACAACGAUAGCCUAAAAUCAUCUGGCAUAUCUCUCGGCAGCAGCAGUAGUUUAAAUCCAAGCUUCUCUCACUAUCCAGCACUCCAAGCGGAAUCGGUUAUUCAAAUUUUAUCCAGCUCUGUCUUGAGCAGUGAUCUACCAAGCCCACCUAUCGCGCAACCCUUCUCCUCUUACAUUGGAAACAACUUGAUCAGCGACUCAAACCAAAUUGGAAAUCAGUCAAUACUCAGCAGCAAUUCAAGCAUUCUGAGUCCAGGUUUAUUGGCGGAUUCUGCAAUUAAUAAUGUGAUUUUAUCUAGUCCUGAUGACCAUGUGACCCUAUCAGUCUAGCAGAGCUGAAUGAUGGUCGCAACAAAGCCUUUAGUCUCAACCAAUCUUUAAGUGCACUUCUUUCUGUUACUUCUACUAAGAAAGGUGGGCUUAUCACAUCGGAAACUCUUGUCAAUCUCUAUUUCAACCUUCUUUUGGAUAGUAGUCUUAUCUUGUGUUUACUUGACUCAUUUUGUAAAUCAUCUUUUAUCAGGAUGGUAGAAUAGUGCUGGGUCCACACUAUUCUGCAGGGAAAUUUAGGCUGUAAAAAUACAUAUAAUAUUAGCAUUAGAGUCACAAAUGUACGUUAAUGAGUUUGGCACUAGAGUCUAUUUUGUGAACUUGUGAACUCUAACAAGUCUCAGUACACAAGUUUAUUUCGUGACUUUUAAUGAGUCUCAGUGUAGGGUUCAUUUUGAGACUUCAAUCUUAUUUUGCAAAUUUUUGGUCUUAAUCUUCUUGCUGAAUAGUGUGGACCGAGCACUUUUAUACCAUCUUGUUGUUUGCAAUUUUCGGGGCACAUUUUCACUAGUUUUUCUUUUAUGUAUUACCCACCAUAAUUCUAGACAAUCGAACUGAGGAUCAUGCAUGAAAUAGCUCCAUAGGGUCAUAAGUUUUCAUACUCUUGUCUCUUUGGAACAGUAAAAUAAUUAUUAAAUUGAAUUAAAACUCUUUAUUUAAUUCUUGAUUGAUGAUUUAGAGCCGAAUUGCAUUUCAACGUAAGAAUACAUUUUUACUUUCUUUAAAUUUAGUUACAUUAAUCACUGUUGUUGAACUGCAUGAAAUGGGUGAUGAGUGAAAUUCUUUUCUUGCAACUACGGGAGUCCCGUUUCCAUCGGUGAUAUUUUUAGGGUGUAAAGGUUAGGGAAAACCUCAUGAAUUUUUCAGUAAUUUUUUACUGCAAAGCAAGUGCUAUGAGUUUUGAAUCUCUGAUUUGUGAGCUAGUUGAACUUGAAGGGAUCUAAUUUUAACACAUAUCUGCUCUAAAUUUUUGGCUGGGGUGUCAAAAUUAUCGCUGUUUAUGCAAAAUUUUUACUUUCUGCUUUGCCUGAAAUCAGAAGUUUAAGUGUGUUAUCACAUUGAUUUUAUUGUGUUUUAAUUGAUUUUGUCUUUUCAUGCUAAUGAAAUCUCAAAUAUUCUCUCACGCAGAGAUGAACCAAGAAUCAAGCAGUACUCUAAAGAUGCCCUAGAAGCCCUUCGAUCGUCGAACAUCUCUUCAGAACCACCGCAGAACUGGGGAGAGAAUUGCAGAGGAGUUCCCAUCAAUCGUUAAAACGGUAAAACGUUACAAUCGAGGAAUUAGUGAUCCUGGUAUGCGGUUUGAUAUGCAUGCCCCUCUGAAUCACAGAGCCUCCCUUCGUUGAAGCAGAGAGCCUUUUCUUUCUUUUUUACUUGAUGGUUUUGUGAGCUCACUAAUAUAGUAUUCAUGCUUUCAUCAAUCAUGCCAAGUAUAAUAGACCCUUUCAAUAAUCCAUCUUGUAAUGCUUGUGUACUAUCCUCUUGCUUCAAAUGAAAAUGUAUAUGACUAAAACUGUGAAUGUGUGAUGUAUAAAGAGAUUGUAUCCUGAAUUUCAUAUAUUGCUCCUGCAACUUCAUUUCCCUUUAAAAAAAUUUAAUCUCAACUGUGGUGUUUUAAUGUGAAAAUCAAGUUUUUUUAAAUAACAUAUUUUUCUAAUUUUUUUCAUGUAACUCAAAUUACAUGCUUGACUGAUUCAUUCGUGAUUUUAAAAUGAGAUAUAUUAUUAAUUUUGAUUUCCAAGCUUUAUUUAAUUUAAAACAAAUAUGUUUUUAGCCCUCUAAUUUACCCGAGUUAGCAUGCAGUAAUUGAAAAUUUUAAAAAAAGGGUAAAAAAUUCUAAAAUGCAGAAUUUUUAUGUUA